GAGACUGACAAUGAACUGCUAAUCCAAAAUACCGAACUUUAAACCUCGGCACUCUC
rnacentral:tRNA from 1 species